UACAGAGGUCCCAAGCGUUGUUCGGAUUCACUGGGCGUAAAGGGUGCGUAGGCGGUUUGACAAGUCUGAUGUGAAAUCCCGCAGCUUAACUGGGGAACUGCGUCUGAUACUGGAUGGCUUGAGUUUGGGAGAGGGAUGCGGAAUUCCAGGUGUAGCGGUGAAAUGCGUAGAUAUCUGGAGGAACACCGGUGGCGAAGGCGGCAUCCUGGACCAACACUGACACUGAGGAGCGAAAGCCAGGGGAGCAAACGGG
rnacentral:rRNA from 1 species